CGCGGGGAGCCCACGGGGAGCCCAAGGGGAGCCCCAGGCCCGUCUCGGCUCGGGGGUGAAGACACACAAACUCCGCUGACUUUGCCCCUGCUGAGCUCAGAGACACCCAAGUGAGGCAAAACCUUGGCAGCUUUAAUACCCUGCACUCUCCUGUCAGGUGAAGACACACCAACUCUGCUGAAUUUGGCCCUGCUGAGCUCAGAGACGCCUUGAAAACUCUGGAUAAUGAGGUAAAACCUUGCCAGCUUUAAUGCCCUGCACUCUCCUGUCAGGUGAAGACACACCAACUCUGCUGAAUUUGGCCCUGCUGAGCUCAGAGACGCCUUGAAAACUCUGGAUAAUGAGGUAAAACCUUGGUAGCAUUAAUGCCCUGCACUCUCCUGUCAGGUGAAGACACAAACCCCACUGAAUUUGGCCCUGCUGAGCUCAGAGACACCUUGAAAACUCUGGUUAAGCGAGGUAAAACCAUGCCAGCAUUAACACCCAGCAGGAAUGUAGCAGCAAGGUCACCAAAAGCCAUCCCUUGUGCCACCCCAGAGCCCUGGAAGUGCUGCAGAGGGAAGAAGGACAUCAGGCAGCAGCAUGGCCUGGGGCUCGUGGAGGCUGAAAAGAGCAAAUUUCUGAGACAGUGUCAGGGCACAGCAGCUGUCACCCUGAGUUUUGUGGCUCCAGGCUACAAAGGACCUGUCCAACAGCAAGCUUGUCACUGCCACUUGAUAAAAACAGGAGGACUCGGUGUCCCUUGUCCUCUGUGUUGCGUAAAAGCGAUGUUGGCCAGGCCAGCUGAACACACAAAGUGGAAAAAAUGUGAAUUUGUGAGCGUGGGGUGAGGGAAUUGAUCUGUCCUGGUCCUGACACGGCUGCAUUUCAGGCCAGCCUUUGGCCAGAAGGUGAAAAGGGAAUUGGCUCCUGUGCCUCCAGCCCUGGGAUCUGGGAGAGUCACAGGCACUCCUGCAGAUUUUAUCUCCCCUGGGAUCACACAAGGAGGCAAAUCAACAAUGUGCCUGAAGAUUUGUGGGCUGCUCAGGCAGGAAAAUAUAGGCAGGUAACAACCCAGUCAAUCUAAUACUUUUUGUGUUUAGAGGUCUUUCUGUAAUUAGCUUAUUGUCAGCUUGAUUGUUGGCCACAGAGAGAAUUUUUGACAGGUUAAUUUAACAGAACAGGAGGUGAUUUCCAUUUUUAUGGCUUUGUGUUGAUCUUCUUAUGAAACUCUUGCUACUGAAGACAUCCACUCCUGCCAGCUGGAGAUGGAUCCCUGGAAGGAGGCUGCUGAAUCCACCAGCAAGGAAGAUUCCCAGAUAGUCCCAGAUUCUCUCAUCACUUCUGAAUUCAGACAUGAAUCUCAGACUCCACAUCUCUCUGGCAAACCCCUUUGGACCGUGUUCCCAUGAUCCAUGUGCAGAAAAAUGCUGAAUGGGAUUUUCAGGACCCAAAUGCAUGGUUCAGGAAAGUCUGUUCUAUUUAAAACCAACAAUGAUUAAGCAGUGUCUGAAAUCUCACCCUAAAUCUCUCGAUGGCUACAGUUAACACACAGUGACAAAGCAGAGAUGACUUAAGCUCUUGGCUUAUGGGGGUUUUAAAAACCAGACUGAAAUCUCCCUGGCUGACACCUUCUGUGUAGAAAUGCCAGCUUGAGUUGCUCAUAAAUGAUCUUUCCAGCCUGAUGUGUCAUGGAUAUCUGCAGAGCAUGAAGUCAGACAAAGCAGCCCUGUGUCCAAGUGAUGAGGCUGGCUGAUCCCACAGAGUGCUUGUGCAGGCAUGAAGCUUCCCCUGGAAAAGCACUGCAGUGAGAUCAUGAGGAAUUCUCAGCUCUCUGUUAUCCUGAGGUGCCACAGAGCAGCAGAACAUCCUGGAGGAGGGAGCAGAACAGAUCUGCUGAGUGUUCUGUGCCAGCUCCACGCUGCUGCUGCUGCCUUCUCCUCCCACCAUCACCUGCUCAGGCUCCAGCCUGGUUAACAACAAUUAAAAUGUUCUUUAUUUUUCCCAGAAAUCCCCCUCACAACAACAUGGUGACAAAUGGGACUUCACCCACAGCAGGGAAAAUAAUGUAAUUAUUAUAUUAAUUAUAAUUUCUGGAGGUCUGCACCUCCAGAAUCCUGCCUGGUGAUGCCUGGUGUUUUAUUGCUUUUUGAAUAAAAACUAACCCAAAUCACAGACUGGUCCAGGACUCAAAGCAAGGAAGAUUCCCAGUCCAAACUGUAAAAGAUGAGGUAUAACUAAAAGGCAAAGGUGGGUUUUUUUCUCAGAGGAUCUAAGAUUCACAUGAUGGAAGUGUUUUGCCCUGUAAAUUCUUGGAGUAAAGACUAUUUUUUUAAAGAAUAAACAGUUUUUCACAGAAUACUUUGACCUAAGACUCACAUGGUGGAAGUUUUUUGCACUGUAAAUUCUUGAAGUAAAGAUCAUUUUGAGAAAGAAUAUUUUGAAAGAAUAAUUUCUCUCAGAAUACUUCAACUCUGGGAGCUGAUUUUAAGAUAAAUACCAAAUAACUGCCAAAAU